rnacentral:rRNA from 1 species
UACAGAGGUCUCAAGCGUUGUUCGGAUUCAUUGGGCGUAAAGGGUGCGUAGGCGGCGCGGUAAGUCGGGUGUGAAAUCUCGGAGCUUAACUCCGAAACUGCAUUCGAUACUGCCGUGCUUGAGGACUGGAGAGGAGACUGGAAUUUACGGUGUAGCGGUGAAAUGCGUAGAUAUUGCUCGGAAGGCCAGAGCCGAAGGGGCCCUACUGGUACGUAACUGACACUGAGGCACGAAAGCGUGGGGAGCAAACAGG